AUUUAAGUAGUUUAAAAAAAAUAUUGAUUUGUGGUGUCAAUGAUGUAUAAAUACCUUGGAUU
rnacentral:tRNA from 1 species